AUUGAACGCUGGCGGCAGGCCUAACACAUGCAAGUCGAGCGAGCGGCGGACGGGUGAGUAAUGUCUGGGAAACUGCCAGAUGGAGGGGGAUAACUACUGGAAACGGUAGCUAAUACCGCAUACCAUCAGAUGUGCCCAGAUGGGAUUAGCUAGUAGGUGGGGUAAAGGCUCACCUAGGCGACGAUCCCGAGCUGGUCUGAGAGGAUGAACGGCCACACGGGAACUGAGACACGGUCCAGACUCCUACGGGAGGCAGCAGUAGGGAAUAUUCCACAAUGGGCGCAAGCCUGAUGCAGCCACGCCGCGUGUGUGAAGAAGGCCUUCGGGUUGUAAAGCACUUUCAGCGGGGAGGCGUUACUCGCAGAAGAAGCACCGGCUAACUCCGUGCCAGCAGCCGCGGUAAUAC
rnacentral:rRNA from 1 species